UCUUGCUCUGUCCUCCAUUCCUACCCUGCUUGCACACUCACACACUAGAUAACUGACGGUCUCUCCCUCCCUCCCUCUCGUUCCCUCCUUCUCCUUUUUGCCUAUUUCUUUUUUCUCUGCCACACCACCAAUACUUUUUUUCCUGGUUUGCAGUGUUUUUAUGCUUUAGCUACAGUAUAUAGAAACCGGUUAUGUGCUGCUACCGUGAGUGCUAUCCCAUUCACAGAUCCAGCAGCAGCGUAGCUUAUCUCUGGACAGACUGCUUUUGCGCUGCUGCUCUUCUGCUUUGUUUUCCCACUUGUCUGCUUUUUUAACUAAACCUUUUCUUUUGAUAACCCUCUUGUUUUUUUCCAAAAACUAAUCUGCCAAGCAGAGAAAGAAACAGAUGGAAAUCUGUCUUUGCGAAAGGGGAGAUGAGGAAGCAGAAAAGUAGAGAGCUGGAAGUGAACGGGUAACAGGACUGAAGACAAGACUGGGUCUAGGCUGCAAGACGAGAGGAAAAGCAGUAAAGAGAGGAAGAAAUGAAGGACAGAGGGGUGAUCGAGGAGGAAUCAGAAAAAAAUUGCUGGAAAAGAGGAAAAUGGCCAUACCCAUCUGACAUCUGCUGAUUGAUGGAGAGAAGACAGUGGCUUUGGUGGCUCUGCUGUGCUGCCGGGGGGAGGUAGGUAGAGCAGAGCACAUGCAGGAUAAUAGAAUCAAUACUAUUGUCUGAGCCGUACCUGCCACCGGGCUCUCUGUCUGGCCCCAGUAGCCAGUGAGCCAUCAGACCCAGCCGCCGUAGAGCAGAGACAGACAGAGGAACCGGGAGAGAGGAAGAGAAAAGGGUGAAGGAUACGAAAGUGCAUGCUUCUUUUUUGAUUUGCUUUCAAAUUUCUGUUUAAUGAAGCCGUCGUUUUUAAAAACAGGCUAAGUUAAAUUCCUUUGUGUUUUCAAUCCUUUGUGUUCAAUUUAGUGGUUUGGCAGCCGAGAUGCACUGGAACUUUGGACAGAGGAAGAUACGUUCUAGUUCAGUCUAUGCGAAUGUAUUCAUGUUUAUAUGCAUGUCUGUACGUGUGUGGCUGAGUUCUCUCUGUGUGUGUGUGUGUGUGUGUGUGUGUGUGAGAGAAAUGAGAGAGUACUGUCUUCAUGUCUAUGACACUAUAUCUGGUGUAGGUAAUAAUGUAUCUUCUAUCGUGUUUGUUCACCAUAUUCUAGGUUUUCUGGUUUUCUGCAUUUCUCUGUCAUUCCUCUUUCUCUCACAUUAAUAAUAUUCCACUAUGCAUUUAGAAGGAAAAGGGUUUUGGCAAUUCAUAUAAAAAUAAUAUUUUUUUAGUAAGGGGACUGAUGGAAAAGGAAAUGUUUUUCGGCAGACAUGUCUUUGCAAUGUAUCACUAUUUGGCUUAUGUCCGCACCUGCGUACAGACCAAAAGCAAUAUUGAGUUUAAGAUUGCGGUUUUGCUGUAAAAACAAGACAAUGUAAUUAAGUUGCACUGAA
ensembl:lncRNA